AUUGAACGCUGGCGGCAGGCCUAACACAUGCAAGUCGAGCGGAUGAGAGGAGCUUGCUUCUUGAUUCAGCGGCGGACGGGUGAGUAAUGCCUAGGAAUCUGCCUGGUAGUGGGGGACAACGUUUCGAAAGGAACGCUAAUACCGCAUACGUCCUACGGGAGAAAGCAGGGGACCUUCGGGCCUUGCGCUAUCAGAUGAGCCUAGGUCGGAGCAGCUAGUUGGUGAGGUAAUGGCUCACCAAGGCGACGAUCCGUAACUGGUAUGAGAGGAUGAUCAGUCACACUGGAACUGAGACACGGUCCAGACUCCUACGGGAGGCAGCAGUGGGGAAUAUUGGACAAUGGGCGAAAGCCUGAUCCAGCCAUGCCGCGUGUGUGAAGAAGGUCUUCGGAUUGUAAAGCACUUUAAGUUGGGAGGAAGGGUUGUACGUUAAUACCGUGCAAUUUUGACGUUACCGACAGAAUAAGCACCGGCUAACUCUGUGCCAGCCGCCGCCGUAA
rnacentral:rRNA from 1 species